GACAUUUGGUAGAGACUGUUGAAGCCACCUGGUUCCAGCAGACCCCAGAAGGCAGCCAAGUUCACUGGUCUGGGGCAAGGUUGUUAAGGGUGAAGCCUGGUGCCAGAUGUGU
ensembl:rRNA 5S_rRNA 5S ribosomal RNA